GUCUAUGGCCAUACCACCCUGAAUGUGCCCGAUCUUGUCUAAUCUCAGAAGCUAAGCAGAGUCGGGCCUGGUUAGUACUUGGAUGGGAGAUAUUAUUCAUUAGUAAUUUUGUUUCACAAAGA
rnacentral:rRNA from 1 species